rnacentral:rRNA from 1 species
UACGAAGGGGACUAGCGUUGUUCGGAAUCACUGGGCGUAAAGCGCACGUAGGCGGAUUGCUAAGUCAGGGGUGAAAUCCUGGAGCUCAACUCCAGAACUGCCUUUGAUACUGGCAAUCUCGAGUCCGGGAGAGGUGAGUGGAACUGCGAGUGUAGAGGUGAAAUUCGUAGAUAUUCGCAAGAACACCAGUGGCGAAGGCGGCUCACUGGCCCGGUACUGACGCUGAGGUGCGAAAGCGUGGGGAGCAAACAGG